rnacentral:rRNA from 1 species
CCUACGGGGCGCAGCAGGCGCGAAACCUCCGCAAUGCGGGCAACCGCGACGGGGGGACCCCCAGUGCCGUGGCAUCGCCACGGCUUUUCCGGAGUGUAAAAAGCUCCGGGAAUAAGGGCUGGGCAAGGCCGGUGGCAGCCGCCGCGGUAAUACCGGCGGCCCGAGUGGUGGCCGCUAUUAUUGGGCCUAAAGCGUCCGUAGCCGGGCCUGUAAGUCCCUGGCGAAAUCCCACGGCUCAACCGUGGGGCUUGCUGGGGAUACUGCAGGCCUUGGGACCGGGAGAGGCGGGGGGUACCCCUGGGGUAGGGGUGAAAUCCUAUAAUCCCAGGGGGACCGCCAGUGGCGAAGGCGCCCCGCUGGAACGGGUCCGACGGUGAGGGACGAAGGCCAGGGGAGCGAACCGGAUUAGAUACCCGGGUAGUCCUGGCUGUAAAGGAUGCGGGCUAGGUGUCGGGCGAGCUUCGAGCUCGCCCGGUGCCGAAGGGAAGCUGUUAAGCCCGCCGCCUGGGGAGUACGGCCGCAAGGCUGAAACUUAAAGGAAUUGGCGGGGGAGCACUACAAGGGGUGGAGCGUGCGGUUUAAUUGGAUUCAACGCCGGGAACCUCACCGGGGGCGACGGCAGGAUGAAGGCCAGGCUGAAGGUCUUGCCGGACACGCCGAGAGGAGGUGCAUGGCCGCCGUCAGCUCGUACCGUGAGGCGUCCACUUAAGUGUGGUAACGAGCGAGACCCGCGCCCCCAGUUGCCAGUCCUCCCCGUUGGGGAGGAGGCACUCUGGGGGGACCGCCGGCGAUAAGCCGGAGGAAGGAGCGGGCGACGGUAGGUCAGUAUGCCCCGAAACCCCCGGGCUACACGCGCGCUACAAUGGGCGGGACAAUGGGAUCCGACCCCGAAAGGGGAAGGGAAUCCCCUAAACCCGCCCCCAGUUCGGAUCGCGGGCUGCAACUCGCUCGCGUGAAGCUGGAAUCCCUAGUACCCGCGUGUCAUCAUCGCGCGGCGAAUACGUCCCUGCUCCUUGCACACACCGCCCGUC